AAUUACCUGGACAAAGCAAAACGAAAACGAGAACCUUUAAUCAAUCGUUCGAUUUCUUUUCUUCCUCGCUGUGAUACCUAUCUUCUUCUUUGGCUUCUUUAAACCAUCGACAGUGCUGCUGAUCCUAGCCAUGGCUCUCUCUACCAAUCUAAGCGGAUCUGAAGCUGAUGUUAGCGCCAUCGAUGGUGGAUCGGUUGUGAUGGAUUUCUUCUCCUUUUUUUCACCCUAACUGCGAUUUCUGAAACCGAAGAUUGAUAGAUAUAAUUCAAUGAGGAAGAAGCUCCCAACAUAACCAGUGACUACUCGCGUUUAAGGCUACGGGGGACUACCGACGGAAAACGCCGCACCCAAACCCAUCUUGAAGCUUGCAGUUUAGGUUCGUGAAUUGGUCUAUGAUGGCCGAAAACGCCGCCAUGUAUGUAAGCUCGACGAUUAAGGAAGUACGGCGGAGCAAAGGAUGUGUAGGCUGUGUGGAAGCUGAAAGGUGAGUCUGUUGUAAAUGUGAUUAAAUUUUCAGGAUUUUUGAUAUGAUUACAGGUUUGGCAAACAAGAAUACAGUGACCAUCAGGCAGCUGAUAAGGACCAAGUUAUCACUUGGAAACACCAUGACCAAGAGACAAAACAAGCCUAAGAUUUCUGUUAACAAGUCUGUCCUCAAGAAGGAGUUCCCGAGGAUAACAAAAUCUGUUGUCAAAAAGGAGAUCUGAGGCAGAAAGAUGAGUUCUCCGGUGAAAGAGGAUACUCGGAGAGUUUUCAUUCCCAAGGGAGAGCAUGCUGGUGGUGUCCUCUCAAAACGACAGGGGAUGGUCGCAGAACUUAGAUGACAUGAUUCUUGACUAUCUAAAGCAACCUGCUUGCACUGCAAGACAACAGGGGAUACACAUUGAUGAAAUUGCUCAGCAAUUGAAGAUCCCAAAGAACAAGCUAAAUAGAUUGAAUCAAGGAGUUGAAAGUUUUUAAAGAUUUUGAAAGUGUUUUAGAGAUGGAUGAGAGUAAUCAUGGAGGUUCAUCAAGUUCACUCCCACCUUUUCUUACAAAAACAUAUGAGAUGGUUGAUGAUUCUUCAUCGGAUUCGAUCGUCUCGUGGAGUCAGAGCAACAAGAGUUUCAUCGUUUGGAAUCCACCGGAGUUUUCUAGAGACCUUCUUCCGAGAUUCUUCAAGCACAAUAACUUCUUGAGUUUUAUCCGUCAGCUUAACACAUAUGUAAGUGUUGGUUGGUCUUUUGUGUUUUGUUUGUUUGAUUUUGAAUCAGUCAUCUUCUUUGGUUGGUUUAGUUUAGUUUGGGUUUUUGUAUUGUUUUGGGUUUAUGUUUAUUUCAGUUUUCUGUUAAAUAAUUGUAAUUCUUUAUUUAACUCUGCAAUUUUUGAAUACUUAUAUGUAAUUGUUUAUUUAAGUU